AAUAAGCCUUUUCCUGGUAGAUGACGACGCGUUGUUUUUGAAAUCGCUGGAAAUUGAAUUUCUGCAUCAUACCGACUUCACCGUUGAAACAUUUGCCACCGGUGAACUUUGCCUGGAGAAUUUAUCACAUAAACCUGAUGUGAUCAUUUUAGAUUAUCAUCUUAAUG
rnacentral:misc_RNA from 1 species